AGCGAACGCUGGCGGCAGGCCUAACACAUGCAAGUCGAACGAACCUUUCGGGGUUAGUGGCGGACGGGGGAGGAACACGUGGGAACGUGCCGUUAGGUUCGGAAUAACUCAGGGAAACGGGUGCUAAUACCGAAUGAGCCAUUCGGGGGAAAGAUUUAUCGCCUUUAGAGCGGCCCGUGUCGGUUUAGCUAGUUGGUUGAGGUAAUGGCUCACCAAGGCGACGAACAGUAGCUGGUCUGAGAGGAUGAUCCGCCACAUUGGGACUGGGACACGGCCCAAACUCCUACGCGAGGCAGCAGUGGGGAAUCUUGCGCAAUGGGCGAAAGCCUGACGCCGCCAUGCCGCGUGAAUGAUGAAGGUCUUAGGAUUGUACAAUUCUUUCACCGGGGACGAUAAUGACGGUACCCGGAGAAGAAGCCCCGGCUAACUUCGUG
rnacentral:rRNA from 1 species